GAUGAACGCUGGCGGCGUGCUUAACACAUGCAAGUCGAACGGAAAGGCUCCUGCUUGCAGGGGUACUCGAGUGGCGAACGGGUGAGUAACACGUGGGUGAUCUGCCCUGCACUUCGGGAUAAGCCUGGGAAACUGGGUCUAAUACCGGAUAGGACGAUGGUUUGGAUGCCAUUGUGGAAAGUUUUUCGGUGUGGGAUGAGCUCGCGGCCUAUCAGCUUGUUGGUGGGGUAAUGGCCUACCAAGGCGUCGACGGGUAGCCGGCCUGAGAGGGUGUACGGCCACAUUGGGACUGAGAUACGGCCCAGACGCCUACGGGAGGCAGCAGUGGGGAAUAUUGCACAAUGGGCGCAAGCCUGAUGCAGCGACGCCGCGUGGGGGAUGACGGCCUUCGGGUUGUAAACUCCUUUCGCUAGGGACGAAGCGUUUUGUGACGGUACCUGGAGAAGAAGCACCGGCUAACUACGUG
rnacentral:rRNA from 1 species